CUGCUCUUAGAGCUGAAAAGGAUCCCAAGGGUGGGUGACUUGAAGACAGAGGCAUUAUGAUCUCCGUCCUACUGUUCACUCAUGGGCGCUCAGCUACUUCGAAAGAGGAUCCUGAGUCAUAGAACCAAGAGUGAGAGGGAGUUAACCUGUCUACAGAAGGAGAAAAUGAGGCCAAUGCAGAGAGGGAAAAAGCGAAAAGAUGAAGAGAGUAUACGCUGAAGAUGGUUGAGGCCUGGAUCCAGCUAUGCCUGAAACCUAUUUGGACUUCCCAAUUAUGUGAGCCAAAAACUUUUACUUUUUCCUUAAGCUAAUUUGACUUGGAUGUUUUGGAUUUUUUUUUUUUUUGGUCACUUUUAUCAAAAAGAGUCUUAAUACACUUCCCAUGACUGGAGAUUUUUGGCAUCGUUUGAUCAAGUCACCGUUGGGCAGUGUUCUCCCACACUACCUCAUACUCAGAAGUGGCCAGUCCCCCUUGCUGCCUCAUCUUCUGGCUGUCCAGUCCUCAGCUGCCAAGUGGCACAGGUGGUCUCAUGCCUGCAGACCUCGGCAAAGUACGCUGUCCCCACCCUAACCUUUAAAGCAGGAGAAGCCAAGCUGGGGCUGCUCUGCUUAAGUCUGUUCCCAGCACCUUUCAACCUGCAAAUUCAGUGAUCUUGGGGAAAGAUGGUGGAGUCUGCCAGCCAUGCUGGUCCAGCAAGAGGGAGUGGCUGAAGUCUUCCUGUCACCCGGACAGGCAGUUUUCAAAGUGGGUACCGCAUGUCCCAGGUUCGCUCUGGAGAGAGAUCCAGUUUGUCUGUCUUGGCUCAUCUGUGUGCCGAGGGGAGGCUGGAGUAGGAGGAGCCAGUGCCUCUAUCCACAGGACCCAGAGAGGUGAUGUCAGCUUCAUGUGAAGAGUGUCCAAGCCCCGUGACAUGGAACUGGAGGGCACCAGCUCUGGGGGAAAGGGCAUUCCCGCGGGUUUGAUUGACAGUGCAGUACAAAUGAAACAGGGCCACUCCUAGGCCCCCACAUCACGGCUCCAGCCUUGUUGGUGAUAGCACAUCUGGGAAACAAGAAACCAGAGCUUGAUGGCAUUUCCUUCCCUUUUGACCCGUAAGGGGCUUUCACAGAUGUCAGCUCAUUUGAAGUCUCACACCAAGCUUGAGGACAGGAGGAGAGGACAAAGCAGUGGGUAGUAUUGGCUCAAGUACAGAGCAGUAGAAGAAACAGAUGGAUGAAGACGAUUAAGUCUGCAAAUAUAUUAACGGAACAGGAGAUUCCAGACACAGACCUAUAUAUAAGGAUAUAUUUUAAUGAUGAAGGUGACAAUUAAAAGCAGAAAGGGAAAAGACUAUCCAAUACAUGGUAUUGACACAACUGCUCCUUUAUAAGGGAAAAAAUCAAAUUAGAUCUUACUCAAUGCCAUUCAAAGCAACAGAUCCCAGACACGUUCGACUUCAACAUCGAAAGCAAAACUACAAAGUAGGCUCCAUAACAAACGAAUUCAGUUAGAGCACGGCCAGUGGUUGGCAAUUAGUUCUCAUCUUCAGCACGGUAACACCACGCCCACAUCUUAAGUGACAAUAUUUGGGGCCCCCACUUCUAGCAUUAUGAUGGGGCUUCAGUAGACUAGAACACAGGAGAAUGGUUUUGCAACCUUGAGAUGUGAAGAAGGCCUCCAUGAGCAAGACGCAAAACUCGGAAGCUAUAAAAGAAAGACUGACAGCCGUGACUACAUCAGAAUUCAAUGUUCUGUCAAAUCAACACCAAGUGAAGUUCAAGGGUGAAACUCUACAGCAAUCCAAGCAUUUUUCAGUAGAGAAAUCAUUAACAAAUUUGCCUACGUAAUUUGUCAUGCAGCCAUUUUACGGAAUCUUAAAUAGUGGUUAAGAAAAAUGACGCAAAGUUAUAUGUACGGGUGUGGAAAAAUUUCUGAGAUGUAGAGCUAAGUGUCAAAAACAAGCCACAGAACUGGCUAGAGAGGCAAAUAGAUCCCAUUCAUGCCUAAAGUGUGUGUGAAAAUUAUUAUGAAACUUCAUAGAAAAUGGACAACACUCACACAUAAUGAACUGUCCGUGUUGGUUAUCUCUGAGGAGGAAAAUGCGGUCCACAGGCGAGGGAUGAAUUUCAUUUUUCAGUCUAUAAGCUUCUGAAUUGAUAAGAUUUUACAGCAAGAAUGUACUCAUGCAUUUCGUUUGUAUAAUAUAUGAGAGAAAGGCAAUCAUAACAUUCAUAAUCAGAUCAUCAUGCUGUCGUCCUGGCUCCAGUGUAUAUUAGCUUUGUGACCUGUGGCAAUUUGCUCAGUCAAAAUGGAGUGAUAACACUUACCUCAUAAUCAUGUUAUGAGCACUGAAUAAGAUAAGAUAUAACUACCGUUUAUUGAGCACCUACCAUAUACCAUUCUUUUUAAACAGACAGUUGUCUUUUAAAUACACUAUCACACUGAACAGGCGUAGCAACCUCAUAGCUGUUAUAAGUGUCUUGCAUGUAAGGAAACCGAGGCUCAGAGAGGUGAAGUAACUUGGCCAAGGUCACAGAGCUGGUAAGUAGCAGAGCUGGGGGGAGACCUGGAUGUUUUUGACUAUAAGAUCAAUGCUAGUUUCUCCCAUGUUCUCCCUUUGAUUUUCUCUCUGAGUAGUGGUGCUUACACUGGGCUUAGGCAACACCCCAGAAUAGACCUUAGCCCAGCUCCAACAGAGCCCCCAGCCUAGACCCUGCAGAAGGGGGCCCAGGAAUUACUGACUCAUAGCCACAGCCGAUUGCUCACAGACAGUGUCUGGCAGCAUCCAUCUCCCACUUCCUCUGAAAUAGAUAACGACAGCUAUUUUAGCCUGAAAUGCCCCUGGCAUAAACACACAAAGAGUAAUAUGUCUGGACGCAAAAAAAUUCCUUGUAAAAGAGUAGUGAGGGACUUUCAUUAUAAAACGCCUUCCCCUGCUAGAGCCAGCCGGGACCCCCACGCCGGGGACCCCCAGCUGAAGAAAGGAAAGGACGAAGAGAAGACCAGGGGACAGGUACCACAUAGAGGAGGGGGCUAGGAAGAAGCUUCAGCGGCAGAAACUGAACAGAUGUUUAAGAGCAAGGAAUGGCUAACUGGAUAUUUGAAUUAUUUGCAGCAGGGUACAUAAUCUGAUUUCUUUCCGUGAACCUAAAAUUUUCAGUGAAGUCUAAUCUACCUACAAAUGUUAACUAACUCCUCUUAAGGACUUUUUAUGUGGCAGGAACUGUGCAAGGAAUUUCCACAAAUUAGCAGAUUUAAUCCCCACAACAACUCAGUUAUUAUCCCAAUUAUCUAGAUGAGGAAACUGAGGCACGGAGAAGUUAGGUAAGUUGCCCAAGAUCUCAAAACUAUUAAGUGACAGGUCUGUCUUCGGAGUCCAUGCCCUUAACCAUCACUCCACACAACCUCUCAAACACUUGGCAUAAGGGAGGUUUUUGCAUUGAAACGAAUGAAGGGGCUAAAAGUCGGGUCUGGCUUUAUGUCGCACAGAGAGGUUAGCCUCAGGGCAAAAAUGGCCUUGAAAACAUCAAGAAUACUCAGAAGUCUGGGGAAAGGGGAAUGGAAUGAGCUUUCCAGCCAAUCUUAUCUGGAUCUCAAGGGUUCCAGAGCCCCAGCUGUUGUCUGGGUUAUAUUCCUGAACGACUUCACCACUUCCUCUCCCGAGAUCUCUCUGGGGGUCAAGAAAUCCUAACAUGGUUGGGCCUGGCGUCCUCUGCUCCUUGGCAGCUGGGCCCCUGCCUUCCAAUUCUCCUUCCAGGCCCCAGGUCUGUUACACCCUUGUCGUUGCUUGGUUGCACUGGGAUUUAAAAGGAUCAAUAUCAACUCUGCCUGCUGCUCCCAGGGCAGAAUCAUCUAGAACUAUAAAUACAGACAUCAGACGAGGGUAAACUGCUGGCCAUAUUAUUGAUCUUGCCUGAUUGGAGAACACGGCUGAUACUCUCUGGCUAAUGGGUUCCCUAUGACUAUCCCUAAGUCUAACCAAGCACCGUCCAACAGAACUUUCUGGGACGAUGAAGAUGUCCUGUCUGCACUGUCCAAUAGGCAGGCUCAAGCCCCAUGUAGCUAUUGAUUAGCUGAAAUGCGGUUAGUGCAACUGAGGAAGUGAAUUUUAAAUUUGUGUUUAAUUUUAAUUUAAAUAGCUACAUAGGGCUAGUGGCUACUGUAUUGGAACUCGGCUCUGGACCUUGGAGCACGCCCCAUGAAGAAGAGUCAGACACCGUGACAGCAAGCAGGGGAAUUGCUGCCCAAUGCCAGUUGAGUCUGUAUCGGUUUCCUAUUGCUGCUGUAACAAAUUACCAAAACUUCAUGGCUUAAAGCAGAAUAAAUUUAUUAUUUUUAUAGUCCUAGAUGUCAGAAAUCCAACAUGUACUUAUUUCACUGGGCUAUAAUCAUGAUGUCACUGGGCUGUGCUCCUUUCUAGGGGUUUUAAGUGAGGAUCUUUCCCGCAUUCCUUGGCUCAAGGCUUCUUCCUCCACCUUCAAAGCCAGCAGCACAGCAUCUUCAAAUCUCUCUUUCUCUUCAUCACCUUCCCUCUUACAAGGACCCUAUGAUUACAUUGGGCUCACCCAGAUAGUCCAGGAUAAGCUUCCCAUCUCAAGAUGCUUAACUUCCGUAAAGAAAGUCAUUACAAAUCACACUGUAAAGUCCCUUUUGCCGUGUAAGGUACCAUAUUCAGAGGUUCUGGGGAUUAGGAUGGGGACAUUUUUGGGGGUGGGGAGGCAUUGUUCAGCCUGUCACAGAGUCCUGUACCAGGA